rnacentral:rRNA from 1 species
AUGGGGCGCGCCACCACCUGCCUGGCCACCUUGUUGCUCGCCGUCACCUUUCUGUUUGCCUCCGCCGCCACGAAGUCGCUUACGGCCAUGCAGACGGACCAGGCGGGGACUAAGAGCGGGUCCACCCUGCCGGCGCACUGCUGCAAACAGGAGGAGAAAGCGGUGGCCAAGCCUCAGCUUGUUGUUGGCGAUCUAGUGGACUUGGCAUCAGCGGAGGAGCAAGGCCAGAAGCCUAGCCCUCACCGGAGUAACAAAAAGAAGAUCCACCACCACCACCAUGACGACGACGACGACGAUGAUGAUGGUGGUGGUGGUGGUGGUGAUGAUGAUGAUGAUGAUGGCGACGACGAUGACGACGACGAUGAUGAUGGUGGCGAUGAUGAUAAUGAUGAUGGUGGCGACGAUGAUGACGACAAUGGCCGAUCCCACUCGGACCACGACUGUGACUCGGGCUCUGACUGUGAUGGUGAUGACGCUAACUCAAAGGGCAGGAAGAAGAAGCCCUCAGCUCCAGAGAAGAAGGGAGUCCUGGGAGGUAACCGGUAA